rnacentral:rRNA from 1 species
GACGAACGCUGGCGUCGUGCUUAACACAUGCAAGUCGAACGAUGAACCCGGAGCUUGCUCCGGCGGAUUAGUGGCGAACGGGUGAGUAACACGUGAGUAACCUGCCCUUGACUCUGGGAUAACUGCUAGAAAUGGUAGCUAAUACCGGAUACGACCCUCGGCGGCAUCGCCAGGGGGUGGAAAGAAUUUCGGUCAAGGAUGGACUCGCGGCCUAUCAGCUAGUUGGUGAGGUAACGGCUCAACAAGGCGACGACGGGUAGCCGGCCUGAGAGGGUGCCCGGCCACACUGGGACUGAGACACGGCCCAGACUCCUACGGGAGGCAGCAGUGGGGAAUAUUGCACAAUGGGCGCAAGCCUGAUGCAGCAACGCCGCGUGAGGGAUGACGGCCUUCGGGUUGUAAACCUCUUUUAGUAGGGAAGAAGCGAAAGUGACGGUACCUGCAGAAAAAGCACCGGCUAACUACGUGCCAGCCGCCGCAGUAA